rnacentral:rRNA from 1 species
CCUACGGGAGGCAGCAGUAGGGAAUCUUCCACAAUGGGCGAAAGCCUGAUGGAGCAACGCCGCGUGGGUGAAGAAGGUCUUCGGAUCGUAAAACCCUGUUGUUAGAGAAGAAAGUGGGAGAGAGUAACUGUUCACGUAUGGACGGUAUCUAACCAGAAAGCCACGGCUAACUACGUGCCAGCAGCCGCGGUAAUACGGAGGUGGCAAGCGUUAUCCGGAUUUAUUGGGCGGAACGGGAACGCAUGCGGUCUUUUAGGUCUGCUGUGAAAGCCUUCGGCUUAACCGGAGGAGGGCAGUGGAAACCGGGAGCCUUGAGUGCAGCAGAGGUUGGUGGAACUCCAUGUGUAGCGGUGAAAUGCGUAGAUAUCUGGCAGAACACCAGUGGCGAAGGCGGCUCUCUGGUCUGUACCUGACGCUGAGGUUCGACAGCGUGGGUAGCAAACAGGAUUAGAUACCCCUGUAGUC